UGAAUUCUUUAGCAUUUAUUGAUGUUGUUAAGUUAAUUAUGGCUAGAUACAAGCGUAUUGGAGGUGGAAUUUAGAGGGAAAGUGGUAUUUGAGGCAUGAUUUUGGUCGUGGAAUCGAGAUCUCGGUGUUGGACCAUGUGAGUAGAGUUGGGUGGCUGCCUUCAGUCCAGUGGAGAUCUAAGGUAGUCCUGCAGGCGUCCGCAGGCCUUGGCGUCCCUUUCUAUCCUGUUUCUUUUCUGUUUUAUCUAUUUUAGAGACAGAUGUGUAUUUCUUUAUUCAGACUAUUGUUUAUAGUAUUCAUAGACUGUCUGUGAGUAGUGAAACCAGUUCUGAGUUGAGUUUUA